CCUACGGGAGGCAGCAGUGAGGAAUAUUGGUCAAUGGGCGCGAGCCUGAACCAGCCAAGUAGCGUGAAGGAUGACUGCCCUACGGGUUGUAAACUUCUUUUAUAAAGGAAUAAAGUGAGGCACGUGUGCCUUUUUGUAUGUACUUUAUGAAUAAGGAUCGGCUAACUCCGUGCCAGCAGCCGCGGUAAUACGGAGGAUCCGAGCGUUAUCCGGAUUUAUUGGGUUUAAAGGGAGCGUAGUUGGGUUGUUAAGUCAGUUGUGAAAGUUUGCGGCUCAACCGUAAAAUUGCAAUUGGUACUUGCAGCCUUGAGUAGAGUUGAGGUAGGCGGAAUGCGUGGUGUAGCGGUGAAAUGCUUAGAUAUCACGAAGAACUCCGAUUGCGAAGGCAGCUUACUAAACUGCAACUGACAUUGAUGCUCGAAAGUGUGGGUAUCAAACAGGAUUAGAUACCCGAGUAGUC
rnacentral:rRNA from 1 species